ensembl:lncRNA
GCUCAAUUAGGACUUCCCGAGACAGUGGUAACGCUCGCCGCUGAGUGCAAAAGCGUGGCCACGCCAUUCGCCUCAAAGGCCAUCCUCACCAGGACGACGCCCCCAACCAAAUUCAGACAGUGGGCGGCGGUACAACUUUUUGGAGUUUUAAAAUCCUGUCACAUCGGAGUUUCAGUUGGUCAUGCAAUACUGAAUAUAUAAAUACUAUAUUAGCCUUCCUGCUAAGAGAUUCCCUUUCAAAAUGCGACACACUGGCCUUUUGAUACAUCAACCUUUUAUUUACAGGGCUGUUUCUCUUGAUCUGUCUCCAGAAAGCCGGCACUGUGAAGAUGAAUGUUGUCCUUUUCUUGGGGGGUACUUAAAAUGGAACUGUCAAAUAUAUUUCUUACUGCCCUCUCUGACGGCCCCUUUUCUCGUCAUCUAAAUAAGGUGUCUCAGACAUUCUUCGUGGUGCUGUGUGGGGUUGUUGAAACAUCCGCUCUGGCCUUGUUUUGUCUGGCCAACCCUAUCAACGUCUCUCUCGUGGCUCUUGUGUCUGUGGCGAUAGUGUUUAAUAUCAUAGAGCUGGUGAUCGUCUGUCUGCCAAUUGGACCCAGUCAUGAACUAAAGGAGAUCAGUGACCACGUUGUCAAAGUGUCUUCCUUCAUCCACCAGACCUUCACAACUGCUGCCAUCUUUGUUGGUAUUUUGGAGGUUGACAAACACAAAGGGACCCGGACGGACUCUCGGAUUCUGAAAGUGAUGGUAGCUUUCACAGUGUUACUACUGCUGUUUGAAAUGUGGGUUUUCAUAAGCAGCACUCAAAGGAAAGCGGUGCUGAGAAGGAAAACAGGGUGUCCAGCAAACCGUGAGAGGGGCAGGCCAAGAGGAAAACAGGUGAGCGCCUGUCACAUGACAAUAUGUCCAGCUGCAUUGACCGUUUUACAACAGCAAGUCAACACGCCGGUUCUUUUCUUUUCUUUUUCUCCCAGAAGAAGCUCGGUGCAGCUAAAGGGAUCGUCAUCGCUGUCUCAGUCAUCUUCAUCGUCGCAUUCUUGUGUUUUGGUGUCACUGUGGCUGUCAUGA